rnacentral:lncRNA from 1 species
GGAAGAAUAACAAAAUAUAGAUGAUUCAAGUAUUAAAAUCAAAAGGAAACAUAGAUAAAGGAGGAAAGAAAAAAAUCGUGUGAUACUUCAGUAUUCUCACACAGAAGAGAAAUAGAUGGGUUGUCCAAGUAAGGCAUGGAUUACAGAAAUAGAUGAAUGGAGCCUUCCAUUAAUGUUGAUGUCACUGAGAAAUACUCUCAAACCUACACGAUGAACAAGUUGACUACUUAGUGUCCUCAUUGGAAAGCUUUUUAAUUUAAGAGGUUUGAAGUUAAAACAUAAUUCUCAUACUAUGCAUUUCCUACUACAAUUUAUCAUUUAUCAAUAUUCAAUUACCACAUGACCUUUAAGG